rnacentral:rRNA from 1 species
UACGGGGGGGGCAAGCGUUGUUCGGAAUUACUGGGCGUAAAGGGCGUGUAGGUGGCCAACUAAGUCCGACGUGAAAUCCCCAGGCUUAACCUGGGAACUGCGUCGGAUACUGGAUGGCUUGAAUUCGGGAGAGGAAUGCAGAAUUCCAGGUGUAGCGGUGAAAUGCGUAGAUAUCUGGAGGAACACCGGUGGCGAAGGCGGCAUCCUGGACCGGUAUUGACGCUGAGGCGCGAAAGCUAGGGGAGCAAACGGG